AUUGAACGCUGGCGGAAUGCUUUACACAUGCAAGUCGAACGGCAGCACGGACUUCGGUCUGGUGGCGAGUGGCGAACGGGUGAGUAAUAUAUCGGAACGUGCCCAGUCGUGGGGGAUAACGUAGUGAAAAUUACGCUAAUACCGCAUACGAUCUAAGGAUGAAAGCGGGGGAUCGCAAGACCUCGCGCGAUUGGAGCGGCCGAUAUCAGAUUAGGUAGUUGGUGAGGUAAAGGCUCACCAAGCCAACGAUCUGUAGCUGGUCUGAGAGGACGACCAGCCACACUGGAACUGAGACACGGUCCAGACUCCUACGGGAGGCAGCAGUGGGGAAUUUUGGACAAUGGACGCAAGUCUGAUCCAGCCAUUCCGCGUGCAGGACG
rnacentral:rRNA from 1 species